UACCAGACUCCUACGGGAGGCAGCAGUGGGGAAUCUUCCGCAAUGGGCGCAAGCCUGACGGAGCAAUGCCGCGUGAACGAAGAAGGUCUUCGGAUUGUAAAGUUCUGUCCUUAUCGAAGAGAGGGUAUAGAGUGAAAAAUGAUAUACUAGGACGGUAGAUGAGGAGGAAGCCCCGGCUAACUACGUGCCAGCAGCCGCGGUAAUACGUAGGGAGCAAGCGUUGUCCGGAAUUACUGGGUGUAAAGGGAGCGUAGGCGGGAUGGCAAGUUGGGUGUUAAAUCUACCGGCUCAACUGGUAGUCGCACUCAAAACUGCUAUUCUUGAGUGAAGUAGAGGCAGGCGGAAUUCCUAGUGUAGCGGUGAAAUGCGUAGAUAUUAGGAGGAACACCAGUGGCGAAGGCGGCCUGCUGGGCUUUUACUGACGCUGAGGCUCGAAAGUGUGGGGAGCAAACAGGAUUAGAUACCCCAGUAU
rnacentral:rRNA from 1 species